AAAUGCAGAAGUGACACAGUUUCCAGUGGUUAGGCAUAAGGAGAAUUGUAACUGGUUUUUUUAGUAUUCUGGCCAGUGUUUCAAGUUGAGCUUUGGUGGUGAUGUCUUUUUUGAUUGGGUGGUUGGUUGGUUGGGUUUUUUUUCAUUGUGGCUUUCUAGCACUGUUUCGAAGUUAACUGGGAAACUUGCAGAUGUCAGACAAACUUAAGUGCCUUGGGAUACUAACACAGAGAGGACUUUGAGGUAUCUGUCAGAUUUAUCCACUCAAGAGACUGGAAGGUUUUCCCAACUCUUUUUCUAUUUGUUUCAAGUAGAAAUUUAGUUUUGAGUCAGAACUGCAUUUCCCUGUGGUCUUGUAUAUUAUAACUAAUUCUCUGUGGCCCUGGCUUGUGGAGGUGUAGCAGAACAACUACAUCUUUUAAUGUGUUUCUACAAAAGAAAAUCUGAUAGCAAGUUAACAUGUUAUUUUUUCUUCUAAGCAAUACAUCGAUAAUUUAAAGGCAUUUUAAUCCAUAGAUUAUUCUGGAUGAGUAUUAAUUUCUCUCUACUUUUCUAACACGUAAAUGCUUUACAUUUGCAGAAUUUUACUUCUUCAUCCUCUGAAGAAAUCUCAUGCUGAAAGCUUGAUAUGGAAGAUUUAUCAAAAUGCAUGCAUGCUAAUGUUGUUCUUUGUGCAGUAUGGUAGUUCCUAAUAAUUAUUGAGAUUAUUAACCUGGAAAUAAGUGUACAGGUGUUGUCUUGGUUUACAAGACAAAUUUCUGCCAAGGAAGGUGGGAACCAUCCUGGGAUAGAAAAUAUGACCCACUUCCCUCCAAAUUAUUAUAACUUUGAAAUUACGGGGCUUUCAGGCAAAGAUAGGGGAAAAGAAAUAGCAGUUCCUUACAGCGUGUGUGUGUACAGCCGGGCAAACAAGCACCGAGCCCGGCAGAGCACAGACCCGGCGCGGCCUUGUCCCGGCUCAGGCCCUUCCCCCGCGGCGCAGUUCCGGGCACAGCCAGCAGGGGCGCCGCUGGCUGCCGGGCAGCGCGGGGGCGAUGCUUCCCCCGCGGCUGCAGGGGGCGCUGUGGCGCAGCUCGGCCGCCUCUCUGCGCACGGCAAUGGCGGCGGGCCGGCGGAAGGGAUGGAGAAGGGGUUCCUUGGCAAACUCACAGGAAGCAGCCGGUCCCUGCGGGUGUCUGCCACUCUGGGUGGCGAGCUGGACUGUAGCAGGAACCUCAGAACAGCAGGCUGGAACAGCAGAGAUUGAGACAGGUUAUCCAUUUCUGGACUUCCUGGAUGUGGUGGGAGGCUGCCAGAUUAACUUUAUGCAACAAGCUGUUUUCCUGCAUUUGGGUUUGGAGCUCAGGUUCCUCCUAGCUGGCAGGGAUCCAAGGAAUAGUGGAUGCCUACUGCCAUAUUCUGCCACAGAUCCAACUCUACGGGCCAACCAACUUCUUUCCUAUUAUAAACCACAUGGCAAGGUUUGCAGCACACUUGCUGCAACAAGGAAUGGCUGCAGUGAGUGCAAGGUCUUUACUGUGGAUCUGCUUUGGACUGAUGUUUCUGUUUUCCAUGUUGAUGGUUGAAUAGAAUGGAAUAGUAAAUUGACAUUAUCUUCCCUCAUUUGAAUCACAACUUCUUUCUUCUGCUGUCAGCCUACAGAGAGCAUGUUGAUGCUCUCUUGGUACAUACUGAUAUGAACCUGUACUGGGUAGACACAUUAGUUUCAUUGCUCAAGUGAUAUUAAUUUUUUUUGCAGUUUGCUGGAACUGUACUUACUGUUGCAUUGUUCAAGGGUGCUGUGUUGGCUGUUCAACCAGUUGGACUGAGGCAGCAGUUGCCUCACCCUAAUCUCUCUUACCAAGCUCUGUCAUCUGUAGGGCAUGCACAUAGAACAGAGUUUUGUGCCAAAUAAUUUUGCUCUCAAGAAUGUUGAGGAAAAACUUCUAAAAUGCUACCAGAGGGCUUGACUAUUCGUCCUGCUAUAGGGGCAUGGAGUCUGAGAACUCUUCAAUCAGUGUGCUAAUUGCAGAGCAUCUGUGCUUCCCUAUGGUCAUGGAUCGUUUGUGUGCUCCUGUGGCCAUGGUUGCUGUUGAAAUUUUACUUCAUUUCUUUAAACUUUAUUCAUUUUGCUUAAGAAUGAAGGACUUGGAUGUCCUGAUAGAUUUUAGCUGAUUUCAUUUGUGACAGACCAAUCAGAAAGAAUUUUGACAUACACUGUGCUACUUGUUUUAUCACCUAGCUGUGUCAGUAUUUUUGGUGCUACGUAAUGUUUGUGUGUAUAUCAAAUAUAUUUCCCACACUGUGAGGCACUUGGGCUAAGGAGAUAGAUUUCCUGCAUUUCUGAGGGUAUUUUUUAACCUUCCCAGCACUUUGGGGAAAUCUUCCUAAUUCUCGUAAUGUGUUAAAUAUCUCUACUUUUUCUUUCAGAUUUAAACCUAACUAUUUAAAUAAAGAAUCAGCAAUCAGUACAGAGAAUAUUGGACGUGCACAAUGAAAAUCAUUAGGCA